rnacentral:rRNA from 1 species
AUCGCCCCUAGAGUUUAUCCUGGCUCAGAUUGAACGCNUGGCGGCAUGCUUAACACAUGCAAGUCGAGCGGAGAUGAGGUGCUUGCACCUUAUCUUAGCGGCGGACGGGUGAGUAAUGCUUAGGAAUCUGCCUAUUAGUGGGGGACAACAUUCCGAAAGGGAUGCUAAUACCGCAUACGUCCUACGGGAGAAAGCAGGGGAUCUUCGGACCUUGCGCUAAUAGAUGAGCCUAAGUCGGAUUAGCUAGUUGGUGGGGUAAAGGCCUACCAAGGCGACGAUCUGUAGCGGGUCUGAGAGGAUGAUCCGCCACACUGGGACUGAGACACGGCCCAGACUCCUACGGGAGGCAGCAGUGGGGAAUAUUGGACAAUGGGGGGAACCCUGAUCCAGCCAUGCCGCGUGUGUGAAGAAGGCCUUAUGGUUGUAAAGCACUUUAAGCGAGGAGGAGGCUACUGAGACUAAUACUCUUGGAUAGUGGACGUUACUCGCAGAAUAAGCACCGGCUAACUCUGUGCCAGCAGCCGCGGUAAUACAGAGGGUGCGAGCGUUAAUCGGAUUUACUGGGCGUAAAGCGUGCGUAGGCGGCUUUUUAAGUCGGAUGUGAAAUCCCCGAGCUUAACUUGGGAAUUGCAUUCGAUACUGGGAAGCUAGAGUAUGGGAGAGGAUGGUAGAAUUCCAGGUGUAGCGGUGAAAUGCGUAGAGAUCUGGAGGAAUACCGAUGGCGAAGGCAGCCAUCUGGCCUAAUACUGACGCUGAGGUACGAAAGCAUGGGGAGCAAACAGGAUUAGAUACCCUGGUAGUCCAUGCCGUAAACGAUGUCUACUAGCCGUUGGGGCCUUUGAGGCUUUAGUGGCGCAGCUAACGCGAUAAGUGGACCGCCUGGGGAGUACGGUUGCAGGACUAAAAC